rnacentral:rRNA from 1 species
CCUACGUGAGGCAGCAGUGGGGGAUAUUGCACAAUGGGGGAAACCCUGAUGCAGCGACGCCGCGUGUGGGAAGACGGUCCUCUGGAUUGUAAACCACUGUCCCCAGGGACGAAGAUGACGGUACCUGGGGAGGAAGCUCCGGCUAAAUACGUGCCAGCAGCCGCGGUAAUACGUAUGGUGCAAGCGUUAUCCGGAUUUACUGGGUGUAAAGGGAGCGCAGGCGGCACGGCAAGCCUGAUGUGAAAGCCCGCGGCCCAACCGCGGGACUGCAUUGGGAACUACCGGGCUGGAGUGCCGGAGAGGUAGGCGGAAUUCCUAGUGUAGCGGUGAAAUGCGUAGAUAUUAGGAGGAACACCAGUGGCGAAGGCGGCCUACUGGACGGUGACUGACGCUGAGGCUCGAAAGCGUGGGGAGCAAACAGGAUUAGAUACCCCAGUAGUC